GGCGCCGUGCUUCAUCAGGGCGAUGGACCCCUCGCCUUCUUCAGCCGGCCUUUCGCUCCACGUCACCUUAAGCUGGCGGCAUACGAGCGGGAGCUCAUUGGUCUUGUACAGGUCGUUCGUCAUUGGCGGCCGUACUUGUGGGGCCGGUCCUUCCUCAUUCGCACCGACCACUACAGCCUAAAGUUCUUGCUGGAUCAACGGCUGUCGACCGUGCCGCAGCAUCAGUGGAUCAGCAAGCUCUUCGGCUUCGACUUUUCCGUCGAGUAUCGACCGGGCCGACUUAACACAGUGGCCGACGCACUGUCCCGUCGUGACUCCGACUUUGUUUCCUCCACCGACGAGUCCGCCGGGGCGGCCCUGUGCAUACGCUCUGGGCCGACGUUCGGCCUCUUCGCCGAUAUUCGCCGCGCCACUGCGACGGCCAACGACGCCGUCCGUCUUCAGCAGCAGCUCACGACCGGCGACCUGGAGGAGCCUUGGCGCUUCUCUGACGGACUGCUCCUACAUGGGCGCCGGGUCUUUGUUCCGGCGCAUGAUGAUCUCCGUCACCAGGUGUUACAGCUCGCCCAUUCGGCGGGCCAUGAGGGUAUGCAGAAAACCCUCCAUCGUCUUCGCGCCGACUUCUACAUCCCUGGCGAUCGCGCCCUGGUCCGCGACUGGGUUCGGUCUUGUCAGACAUGCCAGCGCAACAAGACAGAGACACUGAGGCCGGCCGGGUUACUCCAGCCCUUGGAGGUGCCAUCUCGGGUCUGGGCGGAUAUAUCCAUGGACUUCAUUGAGGGCCUUCCCAAGGUGGGUGGCAAGUCGGUCAUCCUCACGGUGGUCGAUCGCUUCUUCAAGUACGCCCACUUCAUCCCGCUCGGCCAUCCAUAUACGGCGGCAUCAGUGGCCCGGGCCUUCUUCGACGGCAUCGUCCGUCUACACGGAUUUCCUACUUCGAUCGUCAGUGAUCGGGACCCAGUUUUCACGGGCCAUGUAUGGCGCGACCUCUUCAGGAUGGCGGGUGUCCAGCUCCGCCUGAGUACGGCGUUCCAUCCUCAGACGGACGGACAGUCCGAGGUGGUUAACAAGGUCAUUGCCAUG
rnacentral:rRNA from 1 species